ensembl:lncRNA
AUAUAUAUAUAUAUAUAUAUAUAUAUAUAUAUAUAUAUAUAUAUAUAUAUAUAUAGGCUAUACAUAUAUACACAAUAUGUUUUUUUUUUUUUUCUUGGAAAUAAACUCAUAAUUUUAUUUUGGACGUGUAAAUGCUUAUUGAGGGAUUAUUGGGGGAAUGGUUAUUGGGGGAUAUAUAUAUAUAUAUACUGUAUAUAUGCAUUAUAUACAUAUAUAAAGUGUAUACAAGAACCCUGAUCAUGUUAUUCCUGAUUGUUUAUCCAUUUGAAUUAAGGCAGAACCAGGAUGUGUUCAAAAUAUCAUGAUAGAACCCUUGCUCACACAAUGACUUCUUUUUAAAAUCAUUAAUUUUUAUAUGAUAUUGUGAUUGCAUGAAUGAACAAGAGCAGCAUUUACUUAACUUCUUAGCCUAGUAGUUAUUCAUAUUGUAAUAUGUAGUUUGGUGAUCUAUUAUUUUUUUAUUUGUUCUUCUCUUUCUCUGCAGGUUCCUUAAUCCCUGUCCCUUUAAAAAAAACAGCACCUCAUUACAUCAAAAAAUAAAAAAAGGCACUUUUAAGAGCCACAUUUGUUUUGUAUCUUGUUACUCUCUCUACUGUUGUAUUGUGUUCUCUCUCUCUCUUGCUGUCUUACUGUCUCUCCCUCCCCUCUGAGUGGGGUUUUUUUGUUUGUUUGUUUUGUCUUUUUGUCCCUGAGUGUUUAUAGUGUGUUUAUAUUUUGUGCCAUGUCUGAUCUUGAGAUGGACCGUCUCCUGAAUGAGAUGAGUGACCUUGUCGAUCAGGCUGAACAUCAAGCUCACCUCCAACAGCUCAUUAGCAUGCACCAGGAAGCAGAACCAUCCACCGGUCAGCCUUCCACCAGUAAUCCAUCCACCAGCCGGCCAUCAAAAAGCAAGCAAGACGUUAGGUGGAUUAAGAGGGACAGUGAUGGAAACAUUAUUUACGGCAGGCCCAGAUCAUCCCGGAAACAAGCAGCAGGUCCCAGUCACAGCCAGAGUCGAAAGACUGGUGUCUCUCAUAUCAGGGCUCCUGAAACCAGUGCGGAAAUGACCAGUGACUUUCCUUCCGUUACUGCAGGUGUGUUAUUUAUUUUUGACUUCACUGGUUCAAAACAGUAUGUUCAUUUAUUAUAAAAUGGC